GAUGAACGCUAGCAGAACGCCUAACACAUGCAAGUCGAACGAGAUCCAUGCUUCGGUAUGGUGAAAGUGGCAAACGGGCGAGUAACGCGUAUCUAUCUGCCCCAGAGUAGAUGACAACUAUGGAGACAUAGCUAAUCAUCUAUACGCCCCUUCGGGGGGAAAGAUUUAUCGCUCCGGGAGGAAGAUGCGUCCUAUCAGGUAGUUGGUGGGGUAAAGGCCUACCAAGCCUAUGACGGGUAGCCGGUCUGAGAGGAUGUCCGGCCGCAAUGGAACUGAGACACGGUCCAUACUCCUACGGGAGGCAGCAGUGGGGAAUCUUGGACAAUGGGGGAAACCCUGAUCCAGCGAUUCUGCGUGGAGGAUGAAGCCUUAUGGGGUGUAAACUCCUUUUCUGGGGGAAGACGAAUGACGGUACCUCAGGAAUAAGGGACGGCUAACUACG
rnacentral:rRNA from 1 species